UAUAUAUAUAUAUAUAUAUAUAUAUAUAUAUAUAUAUAUAUAUAUAUAUAUAUAUAUAUAUUCCCCAAAACAGUAGGAGUAGGGGGACCCAGGCCAAAAAUCACGUUCGCUCCAGCGAAUUCCUGUCACUUCUCCCGCGGUUGAGGAGAGCAAUCUGGUCAUUGCAGGGGUAAACCUGAGUGCAAAAGAAGUUUUUUUUUCCAGCCCUUAAACUGAGGAAAGACGACAGCCGGGUCCAAUCACCCCGACAGCUUUUACGAGUCUAAUCCGAAAGGGAAACUCGAAGGUGGGGGGAGAGAGAGGAAACUUUCCCCUCGAACACCAUAAAGGAAUCAGCUGAUAACUUGCAAAACUGUCGUCUCUUCAUAUUUCUUUUUUGUUUUAAAGUUUUAUUUAAAAAAAAAAAACUUAAUUCCUCUCCUCGGUUAGAAGGGGUUCCAGUUGGAUACACGAAGUUUUCGUUUAUCUUUCCUUUUUUUGUGGGAGAAAGUUGCGCUUCAAAGCGCUUGGAAGAAUAAAAAAAAGAAAAAAAGGAAAGCUGUUGAUGAAAUCUGUGAUUUUGCUUUCAUGCAAUAGCUAGCUGCUUAAUGUUGAAAGCUUUUAUUUUCUUUUUCUAUUCUCUUUUUCUUUCUCUCCAUUCCAAAGCGAUCGUAUGAGAGAAAUGGAAAAAAAGCGUUCCUGGUUAAUAAAAAUAUUUUAACUUUCAUAUUUCUACGGUUUCAGAGUACAAUCUUAUUUCAUCAUAUUCCACUAAUUACGUAUAAUAAAACAAUAGGAGAAUGAUUACCAAAGAUUCCGUAGCAUUUGCUAAAAAUAUUUUGAAUUUUACCAAAGACUGAUCCCAAUGAUGAUAGAAAAAAUAUUAAAAAAAAUUAUAUCUGCAAAGUUGCGACUUAUAUACUUUACGUAUUAUCAUGUCAACGAAAUCAUUGUGAAUUUGUCAAUUAAAGCGUAAGGAAAUAUAUCAUUAUAUAGUAGUCAUAAGAAUAAAAUACUUCCUUCUGACUCGAACUAAAACAACACCAAAAAUUAUUUUGUGUUUCACUAGUUUUAAACAGGUGAAUCAUCUGUCAAUUCUGUGAAUCUACUGUCAAUUAUGAUUUGAACAUGUGAAUCAGUUGUCAAUUCUAUUUUAUAUUCGGUUUCAGACAAGCGAAUCAGCUGUCAAUUCUGUUUUAAACAGGUGAAUCCAUUGUAAAUCCUGUAUUAACAAGUGAAUCCAUUGUCAAGUCUGUCAUAAACAAGUGAAUCCAUAGUCAAUUCUGUUUUAAGCAGGUGAAUCCAUGGUCAAUUAUGUUUUAAACAAGCGAAUCAGCUGUCAAUUCUGUUUUAAACAGGUGAAUCCAUCGUCAAUUCUAUUUUAAACAAUGAAUCCAUUGUCAAUUCUAUUUUAAACAAGUGAAUCCUUUGCCAAGUCUGUCAUAAACAAGUGAAUCCAUAGUCAAUUCUGUUUUAAGCAGGUGAAUCCAUGGUCAAUUAUGUUUUAGACAAGCGAAUCAGCUGUCAAUUCUGUUUUUAAAAAGUGAAUCCAUUGUCAAUUCUAUUUUAAACAGGUGAAUCCAUCGUCAAUUCUAUUUUAAACAAGUGAAUCCAUUGUCAAUUCUGUUUUAAAAAAGCUAAUCCAUUGUCAAUUCUGUUUUAAACAGGUGAAUCCAUCGUCAAUUCUAUUAUAAACAAGUGAAUCCAUUGUCAAUUCUGCUUUAAACAAGUGAAUCCAUUGUCAAUUCUGUUUUAAACAAGUGAAUCCAUUGUCAAUUCUGGUUUAAACAAGUGAAUCCAUUGUCAAUUCUAUUUUAAACAAGUGAAUCCAUUGUCAAUUCUGUUUCAUUAAACAGCGGAUUCUGUGAAUCCACUGUCAAUUCCGAUUUGAACAGGUGAAUCAGCGUUCAAUUCUGUUUUAAACCGGUGAAUCCAUUGUCAAUUUUGUAUUAAACAUGUGAAUCCAUUUCAAAUCUGUUUUGUUAAAACAGGUGAAUCAGCUGGUAAUUCCGUUUUAAACAAGUGAAUCCAUUGACAAUUCUGAUUUAAACAAGUGAAUCCACCGUCAAUUCUUUUUUAAACAAGUGAAUACAUUGUCAAUUCUGUUUUAAGCAGGUGAAUCAAUUGACAAUUCUGCUUUAAACAUGUGAAUCCAUUGUUAAUUCUGUUUUGUUAAACAGGCGAAUUAACAGUUAACUCUGUUUUAUUAAACAAGUGAAUUAAUAGUUAAUUCUGUUUUGUUAAACAGGUGAAUCAGCCUGUCAAUUCUAUUUUAAACAUGCAAAUCAACUGUCAACAUGUCAAUACUGUCUUAAACAGGUGAAUCAACUGUCAACUCUGUUCUACGUCGUUAAGGUUGUAUAAUAAAUAACCCUCUUAUAAGAUCAUCACCACCAUACCAUGAACCAUCAAGUUUUCACCAUCAUUCAUCGCAGUCACCAUACUGUAUGGUGUCGUCUGCCGUCAUCGCCAUCGCCCCAUGAAGAACUGUGACGUUUUCAUAACUGUAACCAUGCUGUAUGGAUGUGAUUAUCCCCUUUGUACAUAAGUGUACUAUAAACAUAAUCCAUGUCAAACAACCCCCCGCCCAACCCCCCACCCCCCAAAACCCCGUUAUUACUACUAUCGCAAAGUAUGUCGUCAAUAUGUCAAUUCAAGGUCCACAGUAUUGUAAAAACGGAACAUCCGAAAGGAACCUCUCUGUUUCUCCACUCUCUCUCUCUCCCUCUCUGUCUGUCUGUCUCUAUCUCAUUCUCUUUCUCUAUGGGUGACCUCUACGAUAUAUAUAAAAAAAAAGAGGAAAAGAGGAGAAUUUUGUGAAAUAUAUAAGAAAAUGCGGAGAAUUUUGUUUAAUAAACAGAGGAACUAGUACGCAAGAAAAUAAAAGAAAAUGAGGCUUUAUAAAAAGAAUGAAAUAUGUACUGUCAAUUUACUACCAAUCGUAUUUGCUAUCCGCACAAUAUAGUGAAAAAAAAAUACAGUGGAGGCCAUUUAUAAUAAUCAAUUCCCGCCUCCACCUUACUCUGGACAAAGGACAGAAUUUCCGAGAAACUCGGCGGAUAUUGAACUCACGAGCGAUAAUAAAACUUACCAAGUUCCGCAACAAAGCAAAUGCGAUUGGUCGAAAAAGUAAGAGAAAAAGGUAAGAAAAAGAGCCUUAUGAAAUGUUUCACGGAGGACUUUUGAAGUUCCUCCGAGCUAAUGUAUACAUGUGUAUGAGUACUACAUGUUAUUUGGGCAACCACUUGUUGUAGUGUGUCCUACAUUCAAGACAAUUUUCUCACGGUCGUUUUGAUUUUCUCUUUUCAAUCGUUUGUUCGGAUUUCCCCUCCAUCCCAUAACCUUCUGCCUUCUUCCACCCCCACCCACACUCCUCCCCGUUACCUACAAAACUUUCAUUUCCCCGCUAAAGAUUUUUUCUUGUGCAUAAUUUCCCCGAGGGGUACAGGCAGACCAAUGGAGGAGCACGUGCCAGCUUCAAAAACUUGGGAAGACGAAAAUAAUUCAUCAGGAUAUUUACCCUUCUCGAAAAUAUAUGCAUAAUUAAAAUCUGUUCUCUCUCUCUCUCUCUCUCUCUCUCUCUCUCUCUCUCUCUCUCUCUCAAGAAACCCCCUUCACCUCGUCCUCCCUCUCCCAUCUGAAAUGUGCCUAAGCUUCUUGCAAAUAAAAAAAAAAUGGAAAAAAAAGAGAACUUGUUCCUUAUCUCGAAUUUUCAAAUGACUUUUUCCUCUUCUUCAUCUCCCUCGUGAAGUGGUGAUGAGCGCUGAUAAAUUUGUGGUGUCUUGAUGUUAAAAGAGAAUAUGAGAUAAAGAUAGAACUUGAUGUUAGACGAGGGUCUGAGAAAAUGAAAGAACUUGAUAUGUUUAAAAAAAAAAAAGUCUGAGAAAGGUAUAUAAAACGUGACGAUAUGUUGAAAAGAGCCUGGGAAGGAGAUAGAACGUGAUGAUAUGUUAAAAUGUGUCACAGAAUAAAAAAAGAAAAGAAAAAAACUUUAUAUCAGAUAUGCAUAACUAGGAUUGCAAUGUGAACUCGGAGGCACGAACGAGGAUUUACAUAAUAUACAUAAGCAUACAUCCACGCAUUCAGAGUUGAAAAAUGUAUUUUAAACUACUAAGUUUGACGAUGAAAGCCCACAAUCGUAUUUACACUCUGGUGACAGACCUGUGAAUUAGAAUAUCAAGUAAUUAUGGAAGAAAGACGGAAGCAUUAACCACAAAUUGUACGUAAUAUUACUACCGUCUUUGGUCCGUGUGGUUUUGGGUAUAAAUAUACAUCGGUGAUUACUUCCACAAUGUUACUCUGAAUACUUAUAACCAGAAUUAAAUAAAUAUAUAAAAUCAAAUAAAGAAAUCCAGGCUCUUUCAUAAAAUCGAAGAAAUAUGACGCGUUGCACCAAAGAAAACGAAUUACCUAUGAAAAAUUCAUGACCAAGAAACAGACCUCACAAAGGUAUUUAAUGUCAUCUUUUGAUUAGUACAGAUUCAUGGAAACAGGAACCACAUUCAUACCAAUUUCACCGACGAGUGACCAUCACCUUUGAAUAAUACAAAUAUACUGAGGAAGUAUGAAAAAAAUACAUUACCAAGACCAAUUUCAUCAUGAAGAAUCUUUUCACCGACCAGUGACCAUCACCUUUGAAUAAUACAAAGAUACUAAGGAAGUGUGAAAAAAAUAUAUAUUAUCAAGCUUUCGAAAAAGUUAUUGAAAUGACGACAUAAGGCAAAUGUAUAACUGUUCUUUUUUUGUUUGACUUAUUUUACUUUUCCUUCCCAUUUCUCGCCUCCUUUUUUUCUUUUUUUAUCGUGUUCUCUUUUCCUCCCCCAAAUCGCCGUCGGCAAUCAGUAUUAUGCCAAUUGUAUUACUCAUUGAUGUUUCAAUCCAGAUAAACCAUGUGCCGAGAAUAGUGAUAAUGUUAUCAUCUAUAUCAAAUAUAAUACGUGUUCAUUACAA